CUGAUGUGGGGCAUCUCCCUGGGGUCCUUCCUGCUCCUCACUGCUCCCUUGCUCGGUUUAGUGAUACAGGUGCCGGAAUAUGACAUCAUAUUCCGGCUCCCGGCUUCACUUCAGUCAGCGCGCGCGAGGGAGCAGUGAGGAGCAGGAACGCUGAGCUCCCUCGCUGGCCGCCAGUGUCCUGCUUCCUCCCCGGCCGGGUAAGUGUUAGCACAGUAGGCACCUGCAAUAUGGGGAAAGCAGGUGCCUACUCUGCUAUAACACUAAGCAUG